CCGAACCUGGUCCAGGAAAAAAUCCUCAACGUUGAAGCACGUUAACACACUCGAGCUUUCCAAACACUCCAAGAUGCAUAGCGCUACCAUAAAUCCAACUUCUUCUGCGAAUUCAACACUAAAUUCAACGUCAUUGCAAAUUCAUUGCGCCAUGAAUUCGUCAUCUUCUUCCAGAUUUUAAGAUUCCAAUGCUCGACAACAUAAAACAUAAAAGAAAAAGUGCUUAUGUAAAUAAGCUUAAAAUGGCAACGCAAUUCAUAAUUAACCUCUCGGAGUCGCACUUGGAUCGUGCUCUUCCUCAACUUCUUCUUCUACAAAUCACGACGCAUCGAGUGAAGUACAUGACUCCACCUCCAUGGUUCGCAGCUCAGAAUCGCCAUCAAUACUCAAGCUGAUUUACUUAUGCACACGCGGAAACGAAGGAAAAAACAGAAAUGAAAUUAAGAGGCUUACCGGACUCGAAGCUUUACCCGCUAACAGGUACGAACCGAUUCCAACUUUGCCUUUCUUCUUCUUCCUCUGAGAUUUGUGAGGAGUGAUUCUCUGAGUUGAGUAGCGAUGAGUGAUUGAAUCUCUCUUCUGAAAUGUCUCUGUUCGCAAGUUCUUUAAGGUUUUUUUGCAGGGUUCUGUUAAGGUGAUUAUCGGAUUCUGCAGGGUGAUGAUGAAGGAUUUCAAUUGAGCUGAGGGUUUUCAUCAAGUGAUGAAGGGGAACGAAUUAAUGCCAAGAUGCUCAAUCAACUUCAAGUCGAAUUGGGAGGGUCGAACGUGCCUUUAGACUGUAGAUGUCGUUAUUCAACCAUUUCAACUCAAUUGGAGGUUAUUUUGAAGGAGUAUUAUGUCAUGAAGCUGCAAUUUGGCUUGGACCGGGACGUUGUUCUGCAUCAUUUCGCAAUGGCCUACGUCAGAAACUCCUCCUGCUUAUGGAUCAAACAUGGGAGCAUCUUCAUUUUGAGCAGUAAUGAUGACCUCCUGUUACGGGUUCGGAGGAUGGUACGCAUUGCAAUGCCCGUAGGGAGUGAUGCGCUAAUGGUUGGGGUUGUUUGUAAAGCAGUACAACUUAGUUCUGUUAUAUGUACUUGGGGUUUGUAGUUUUUUUCUCUUGAAAUUCUGGAUGUGUAACUACUUUGUAAUAUUGGCAAAACCCAAUGGUUGUAACACGACUCGGUUGAAAUGUAAUUGGAUUGAAACAUUGUAUUGUGAUGUAUUUGGAACAAAUUAUAUUCGGUGGUGUAAGACCCCAAUUUUGAAUCUAAGAUCCCCCAUGUUAUCUCA